rnacentral:rRNA from 1 species
CGCGAAGAACCUUACCUGGUCUUGACAUCCACAGAACUUGGCAGAGAUGCCUUGGUGCCUUCGGGAACUGUGAGACAGGUGCUGCAUGGCUGUCGUCAGCUCGUGUUGUGAAAUGUUGGGUUAAGUCCCGCAACGAGCGCAACCCUUAUCCUUUGUUGCCAGCGGUCCGGCCGGGAACUCAAAGGAGACUGCCAGUGAUAAACUGGAGGAAGGUGGGGAUGACGUCAAGUCAUCAUGGCCCUUACGACCAGGGCUACACACGUGCUACAAUGGCGCAUACAAAGAGAAGCGAACUCGCGAGAGCAAGCGGACCUCAUAAAGUGCGUCGUAGUCCGGAUUGGAGUCUGCAACUCGACUCCAUGAAGUCGGAAUCGCUAGUAAUCGUGAAUCAGAAUGUCACGGUGAAUACGUUCCCGGGCCUUGUACACACCGCCCGUCACACCAUGGGAGUGGGUUGCAAAAGAAGUAGUUAGCUAA